rnacentral:rRNA from 1 species
UGGCGGCAUGCCUAACACAUGCAAGUCGAACGAGACCUUCGGGUCUAGUGGCGCACGGGUGCGUAACGCGUGGGAAUCUACCUUGGGUUCGGAAUAACUCAGAGAAAUUUGAGCUAAUACCGGAUGAUGUCGCAAGACCAAAGAUUUAUCGCCCAAGGAUGAGCCCGCGUAGGAUUAGCUUGUUGGUGAGGUAAAAGCUCACCAAGGCGACGAUCCUUAGCUGGUCUGAGAGGAUGAUCAGCCACACUGGGACUGAGACACGGCCCAGACUCCUACGGGAGGCAGCAGUGGGGAAUAUUGGACAAUGGGCGAAAGCCUGAUCCAGCAAUGCCGCGUGAGUGAUGAAGGCCUUAGGGUUGUAAAGCUCUUUUACCCGGGACGAUAAUGACAGUACCGGGAGAAUAAGCCCCGGCUAACUCCGUG